UGCAGUCGAGCGGACAGAUGGGAGCUUGCUCCCUGAUAGUUAGCGGCGGACGGGUGAGUAACACGUGGGUAACCUGCCUGUAAGACUGGGAUAACUCCGGGAAACCGGGGCUAAUACCGGAUGGUUGUCUGAACCGCAUGGUUCAGACAUAAAAGGUGGCUUCGGCUACCACUUACAGAUGGACCCGCGGCGCAUUAGCUAGUUGGUGAGGUAACGGCUCACCAAGGCGACGAUGCGUAGCCGACCUGAGAGGGUGAUCGGCCACACUGGGACUGAGACACGGCCCAGACUCCUACGGGAGGCAGCAGUAGGGAAUCUUCCGCAAUGGACGAAAGUCUGACGGAGCAACGCCGCGUGAGUGAUGAAGGUUUUCGGAUCGUAAAGCUCUGUUGUUAGGGAAGAACAAGUGCCGUUCAAAUAGGGCGGCACCUUGACGGUACCUAACCAGAAAGCCACGGCUAACUACGUGCCAGCAGCCGCGGUAAUACGUAGGUGGCAAGCGUUGUCCGGAAUUAUUGGGCGUAAAGGGCUCGCAGGCGGUUUCUUAAGUCUGAUGUGAAAGCCCCCGGCUCAACCGGGGAGGGUCAUUGGAAACUGGGGAACUUGAGUGCAGAAGAGGAGAGUGGAAUUCCACGUGUAGCGGUGAAAUGCGUAGAGAUGUGGAGGAACACCAGUGGCGAAGGCGACUCUCUGGUCUGUAACUGACGCUGAGGAGCGAAAGCGUGGGGAGCGAACAGGAUUAGAUACCCUGGUAGUCCACGCCGUAAACGAUGAGUGCUAAGUGUUAGGGGUUUCCGCCCCUUAGUGCUGCAGCUAACGCAUUAAGCACUCCGCCUGGGGAGUACGGUCGCAAGACUGAAACUCAAAGGAAUUGACGGGGGCCC
rnacentral:rRNA from 1 species